UACGUAGGGUGCGAGCGUUAAUCGGAAUUACUGGGCGUAAAGCGCACGCAGGCGGUUUGUUAAGUCAGAUGUGAAAUCCCCGAGCUUAACUUGGGAACUGCAUUUGAAACUGGCAAGCUAGAGUCUUGUAGAGGGGGGUAGAAUUCCAGGUGUAGCGGUGAAAUGCGUAGAGAUCUGGAGGAAUACCGGUGGCGAAGGCGGCCCCCUGGACAAAGACUGACGCUCAGGUGCGAAAGCGUGGGGAGCAAACAGG
rnacentral:rRNA from 1 species